rnacentral:rRNA from 1 species
ACUCCUGUGAGAAUGCCCUUAUUGUCCUGCCCAGGAACUAAGGAGCAGGUAUCAGGCACGAUUAGUCAGCCCAACACACCUUGUUUUGCCACACCCCUACGGGUAAUCAGCAGUGAUAAACUUUUAGCUAUAAGUGAAAACUUGACUCAGUUAAGGUUAAGAGGGUCGGUAAACCUCGUGCCAGCCACCGCGGUUAAACGGGAGACCCAAGUUGAUAAACAACGGCGUAAAGCGUGGUUAAAGUACUAAUUAAAUAGGGUCAAAUAGCCUCUAAGCAGUCAAAUACUAUCGAGACCACAAAGCACAUCUACGAAAGUAACCCUAAUAUCCCUGACCCCACGAAAGCCAUAACACAAACUGGGAUUAGAUACCCCACUAUGUAUGGCUGUUAAAAUUGAUGGUACUUCACUCGAACCAUCCGCCCGGGAACUACGAGCCUCAGCUUAAAACCCAAAGGACCUGGCGGUGCUUUAGAUCCCCCUAGAGGAGCCUGUUCUAUAACUGACAAUCCCCGUUAAACCUCACCACCCCUUGUCAAAUCC